AUUGAACGCUGGCGGAAUGCUUUACACAUGCAAGUCGAACGGCAGCACGGACUUCGGUCUGGUGGCGAGUGGCGAACGGGUGAGUAAUACAUCGGAACGUGCCCAGUCGUGGGGGAUAACGUAGCGAAAGUUACGCUAAUACCGCAUACGAUCUCUGGAUGAAAGCGGGGGACCGCAAGGCCUCGCGCGAUUGGAGCGGCCGAUGUCAGAUUAGGUGGUUGGUGGGGUAAAGGCCUACCAAGCCGACGAUCUGUAGCUGGUCUGAGAGGACGACCAGCCACACUGGGACUGAGACACGGCCCAGACUCCUACGGGAGGCAGCAGUGGGGAAUUUUGGACAAUGGGCGCAAGCCUGAUCCAGCCAUUCCGCGUGCAGGAUGAAGGCCCUCGGGUUGUAAACUGCUUUUGUACGGAACGAAACGGCGACCUCUAAUACAGGUUGCUAAUGACGGUACUGUAAGAAUAAGCACCGGCUAACUACGUGCCAGCCGCCGCCGUAA
rnacentral:rRNA from 1 species